rnacentral:lncRNA from 1 species
UCACAUGCUUUUACAUGAUUCCUUUUAACUUAGAUCACAUACUAACACAUAUAAAUCACAUAUUCUCCUUCCAAUACUCAUCCUUAUACUUUUAUAUCCAUCAUGAUCACAUAACACAUAAACUUCCCACAAUCAAGCAUGCAUUCUUACUAAUAUCUACACAUACUAUCUUAGCUUGACAAAAAAAAAUAAAGCUAGAUUAUGAACUUACUUCUUGAAGGCUUUCUUCCUCUUAGCUAGGAACCUUAAGUAGUUCUCCACCUUUGCUUCUCCUUCUUGAACUCCUCUUGAACCACCAAAGUGCAAGAGUUCCUCUAGAAUCCUUCUACUUCCCUCAAUUUCUCUCUAGCUCUUACUAUACUACUAACACUUAUGAAAUUUCAAGUAAAUGAAGCAAUGAACUAGGAUGGCUUAUAUUUAUAGGCAAGGUCUAUGUAUACAAUACAUGUACUAAUACUUGGUAUAAUACUUGUAUUUGUACACCCAACUAGGUAUUAACCAUUGGUAAAAGGUGAUUAGGUAAAAAGGAAUUACCAACUACUUCACCAACUAUGUCCUUCUUCAUCAUGAGCUCACGUGGGAUUACUUGUAAGCAUUUUUGUGCAACAAAAAUCAGCACUUAUGCUUAAUAGGGCCAAAUUUCGGCCAUG